rnacentral:rRNA from 1 species
AGCCCAAACCAAUAAAGUUUUCUUUAUUGGGGUUGCGGACAUAUCAUAACGAAGAGGUAUCGUAAUUGAAGAGGUUUGGAAAGACCCACCACAGAAGGUAAUAGUCCUGUAUGUUAAACGAGAAGACUUCAGAUAUGAUCCAGAGUACCACGGGACACGUGAAACCCUGUGGGAAGCAGGAGGGACCACCCUCCAAGGCUAAAUACUACCUAGUGACCGAUAGCGUAUAGUACCGUGAGGGAAAGGUGAAAAGAACCCCGGGAGGGGAGUGAAAUAGAACCUGAAACCCUGCACUUACAAGCUGUGGAAGCACAUUUCUUGUGUGACCGCGUACUUUUUGUAGAACGGGCCAACGAGUUACGUUAAGUAGCAAGGUUAAGCACUUAAGGUGUGGAGCCGUAGCGAAAGCGAGUUUUAACUGAGCGUUCAGUUACUUGACGUAGACCCGAAACCGGGCGACCUACCCAUGAGCAGGAUGAAGCGAAAGUAAAAUUUCGUGGAGGUCCGAACCCACGAGCGUUGAAAAGCUCGGGGAUGACUUGUGGGUAGCGGUGAAAUUCCAAUCGAGCCCGGAGAUAGCUGGUUCUCCCCGAAAUAGCUUUAGGGCUAGCCUCAAGGUGAGAGAUACGGAGGUAGAGCACUGAAUGUCCUAGGGGGUAUUGCACCUACCGAAGACUAUCAAACUCCGAAUGCCGUCAUCUUAUACUUGGGAGUCAGACUGUGGGUGAUAAGAUUCAUAGUCGAAAGGGCAACAGCCCAGAUCGUCAGCUAAGGUCCCUAAAUGUAAGUUAAGUGGUAAAGGAUGUGGGAUUGCACAGACAACCAGGAUGUUGGCUUAGAAGCAGCCACUCAUUCAAAGAGUGCGUAAUAGCUCACUGGUCGAGUGAUCCUGCGCCGAAGAUUUCCGGGGCUAAAACUUACUACCGAAGCUACGGCAUCAGUAAUGAUGGGUAGGGGAGCUUCCCAUACGGGUUGAAGCAUGACCGUAAGGACAUGUGGACAGUAUGGGAGUGAGAAUGUUGGCAUGAGUAGCGAGAUGUGGGUGAGAAUCCCACAGGCCGUAAACCCAAGGUUUCCAGGGGAAGGUUCGUCCGCCCUGGGUUAGUCGGGACCUAAGCUGAGGCCGAAAGGCGUAGGUGAUGGACAACAGGUUGAUAUUCCUGUACUACCGAUAACCGUUUGAGAGAAGGGAUGACACAGUAGGAUAAGCUAAGCACACUGUUGGUUAUGUGUGCCCAAGCAUUGAGGCAGUCAAAGUAGGCAAAUCCGCUUUGAUAAUGCUGGGAUGUGAUGGGGAGCGAAAUUUAGUAGCGAAGUAGCUGAUUUCACACUGUCAAGAAAAGUCUCUAUCGAGGUUAAAGGUACCCGUACCGCAAACCGACACAGGUGGGUGAGGAGAGUAUCCUAAGGCCAGCGAGAGAACUGUUGUUAAGGAACUCGGCAAAAUGACCCCGUAACUUAGGGAUAAGGGGUGCCACCAUCAGGUGGCCGCAGAGAAUAGGCCCAAGCGACUGUUUACCAAAAACAUAGGUUUCUGCUAAGUCGCAAGACGAUGUAUAGGAGCUGACGCCUGCCCGGUGCUGGAAGGUUAAGGGGAUCUGUUAGAGCAAUCGAAGCAGUGAACUUAAGCCCCAGUAAACGGCGGCCGUAACUAUAACGGUCCUAAGGUAGCGAAAUUCCUUGUCGGGUAAGUUCCGACCCGCACGAAAGGCGUAACGAUUUGGGCACUGUCUCAACAACAGACUCGGUGAAAUUGUAAUUCCGGUGAAGAUGCCGGAUACCUGCGACAGGACGGAAAGACCCCAUGGAGCUUUACUGUAGCUUGACAUUGGGUCUUGGUACUACAUGUACAGGAUAGGUGGGAGGCUUUGAAACCAGGACGCCAGUUUUGGCGGAGCCAUCCUUGGGAUACCACCCUUGUAGUACUGGGACUCUAACCAUAGGCCAUGAAUCUGGUCUUGGGACACUGUCAGGUGGGCAGUUUGACUGGGGCGGUCGCCUCCCAAAAGGUAACGGAGGCGCUCAAAGGUUCUCUCAGUACGGUCGGAAAUCGUACGUAGAGUGUAAAGGCAAAAGAGAGCUUGAUUGCAAGACAUACAGGUCGAGCAAGGAUGAAAAUCGGACUUAGUGAUCCGGUGGUUCUGCGUGGAAGGGCCAUCGCUCAACGGAUAAAAGCUACCCUGGGGAUAACAGGCUUAUCUCCCCCAAGAGUCCACAUCGACGGGGAGGUUUGGCACCUCGAUGUCGGCUCAUCACAUCCUGGGGCUGUAGUAGGUCCCAAGGGUUGGGCUGUUCGCCCAUUAAAGUGGUACGCGAGCUGGGUUCAGAACGUCGUGAGACAGUUCGGUCCCUAUCCGUCGCAGGCGUAGGAAAUUUGAGAAGACCUGUCCUUAGUACGAGAGGACCGGGAUGGACGUACCUCUGGUGUACCAGUUGUUCUGCCAAGGGCAUGGCUGGGUAGCUAUGUACGGAAUGGAUAAGCGCUGAAAGCAUCUAAGCGCGAAGCCAACUUCAAGAUAAGAUUUCCCACCGCAAGGGUAAGACCCCAGAAAGACUAUCUGGUUGAUA